AAACUUAUUCCCCUAUUUUUUAUUGCCUUGGAAAUAUUCCCAUGUCACAAAAGCCACUAUUUUCCCAUCAUUUUUUUAGUAUUUAUAUUCCUAGGUCAUUUGAAAUUAGUCUGCUGUAAAAUGAGGAACUAAGUUCAAUUUUUCAAGCAGUCACCCAACAAUCCUUGAAUGACUUAGCUCAUUUUGAAUGGUCUUUCCUUUCCCCAUGGAUUCAUAAUGCCAUUUUAAGUAAUCUUGGAGAAAUCAUAGAAUGUUCGGUUUCCUCAACUACAAAUGAGGAUCAACAAAAGCAUCCAUGGAUCUUAUGUGAGGAGUAAAUGAGUUAAUGCAUGUAAAGCUUAGAAGAUCACCUGUCCCAUGACAUGUUAAGUAUCUGGGUGUUAGCUAUUAUCUUUUAUUAUCCUUACCCAUCCACUUAAUUUAGCAUAAUUAUGGAAAGUUACAGUGAUUAUUUGUAAAUUUGGUCAGAAAAGAAAUAGGAUUUGCAACAUCAGUUGGAAAGAACUGACACAUGUAUAAUAUUCAUGGAACAAUGACUUCUAUGUAGUUAUAAAAAUGAAGAGCUAUGCCUUACACUACAGUUUGUAAUUCACAUAAGUAAUGCUAAUCCUCACUACAGUCUGUUGCCAUAGUCAAAAACAUGUUUUCUUUUUUCUCUGUAUAUAUUACCAGAGUUUUUCUGCUAUGCAGAAAAAGUACAGACUUUUAAGCAUUUUAAAUAAAUAGCCAAGUAGCUUAAAAAACUAUUAUUAAUUCUAAGCAAUAUUUUUCUGUAGUUGUUAACACGUAGGCUCUUAGGUUUUCUAUGUAGAUAGUCAUCCUUUUCAUAAAGAGAGAUCAUUAUGUCUCCCCUUUUUCAGUGGCCCUAGCCUCCCUAUCUUAUUAGCUAAAUUUUCCAGGAAUGCACCAAACAAGAUCUCAGGGCAAAUAUUUUCACCUGUUUUGUCUCCCUCCCCUCCCCCACAGCAUGUGGAAUUUUACAGGCCAGAGAUCAAACAUGCACCAUAGAAGCAAACCAAGCCACCACAGUGACAAUGCUGGAUCCUUAACUCACUUUGCCAUAAGGGAAACCCCCACCUUGUUUCUUACUUAAUAAAAAUGUUUCUAGGUUUUUCACUGUAAAGAGUGAUGUUACUCAUUGAUUUUCCUUAACUUGUGAGAAAAUAUUAGGAGUUCAACAAUAACAUGUUUUAAAUAACAUCAAAUAACAUUUUGAGAUUCAGUGAGGCAAGUAGUUUUAUCCUUUAACCAACAGUAAGAUUUCAUUGUUUCUAUAUUAAAUUAUGCAUCCCUAGAAUAAACACUUCUAAUUAUGUAUUCUAUUUACAUACUGAAAAAUUUGAUUUAUUGUUUAUUUAUAAUUUUUAUAAUUUUGUAGACUUUUUUUGGCUGUUUUGUAAAGCUUUGGAAUCCUGAUGGUAUCAUGAUUAUGUCACUCCAUAAGAAUAAGUAGAGGUAUUUGUUUCACCAAGAAUAUUUUACUGUUCUGGGUUUUUAAAAAGUUAAUAUGAGAAUUAACUUUACCUUAGCAUUUUAAAAUAAGCUACCUAUAAAACCAUGUAGAGCAAGAACAUUGUAAGAAGGGAUUCUUGGGUAUUUUCUUACUUUUUCAGUAUUUAUCAGUUUAAUCUUUCAGUGAAUUUUGACAAUUAUAAUUUCCUGAUAAUUCAUCCAAGUUAUAAGAGUUUGAAAUGUAUCCAAAUGGGCUUCACAAAGCAAAUUUUACUUUGCUUUUAAUCUCAUCUCUAUCAACAGUUGUAGCCCUUAACCAUUCAUAAUGUUGCAUAUUUUGUUUUCUACUUUUAAUUAAAAUUUCCAGACAUUGGUCCAUUAUGUUGAUUUUAUCCAAAGAUUUUCUAUAUUAUUUUUCUGUUUUCAGUUAAUUAAUUUAUGCUGUCAUUUUAUUAUCUCUUUCCUUCUGUUUUCCAUUUUGUAUUCAAAAUGUAUAAAAUAUUUUAAUGAAAGAGCAUGAUUUAAUGCAUUUUUAGGAAAGUAACAUUACUCAGUUAUUUCAUUUUAAUUAAACUUGGUUUUAAAGUGCAUGUAAAUCAUUUUAAUUUAAAUAUGUUAAAGUUUCAAUACUGCCAUUGAAUAUAAAUUGUAAUUUCCAGUUCAUUUAGUAUAUGAAAAAAUAGCAUCAUAGAGCAUUCAAAAAUCUUCAACAAAUAGAUUUCAAAAGGCUCCAGCAGCAAAUGUGGGGAAGAGACUCAGUAAAAUUCUAGAAAAUAUCAACUGCUGAUAUUUUUUCAAACAAGAUGGCAGCUAAAAAGGUGUCUUUAAGAUCAUGUUAACUUUAGUUGUGACUCUGCAAUAAAUAAUCAAAAUAAUCAACUCAUUUGAAAAUCAUAAAUGAAUAAAACAUCAGAUAAUGUAGAUUAUCUACUUCUAAAGUCCCAAAGAUGGUAGGCUAGAGGUACGCAUUUCUUCAAUCCUUUCAUAUUUUGGAUGAAGAAACUCUAGCCUAAUUGAAGAUAUUAACAUUCAUUCAUUUAUAUACCCAUAUACAUUUAGUGUGGCCAAUGGGUUGGACACCAUGUUGGAAUUGGGACUGGGAGAAUGUGGAGGCCAAGGUGAAUAGCACAGGAUGGUUGAAUUCCAGGAAAGCUCAAUGUGAGGAGCCUAACAGAACACUGGCAGAAUCCUGUGGCAACACUUGUCAUCUUAUUUGAUUUUCUUGUAACUAUUUCUGUCUGAAAUUAUAUUUACAUAUUUUCUUACUUGUUUGCCUCUCUCUACCUUUUAUGGUGAGUUACAUAAAGGAAACAGGAGCCUCUUUAACUACCGAAUACCCUAAGUACAGGAAAAGUCCUGUCAGAUGGCUGCAGCUCAACAAUUGUUUCCUGAAUUAAUGCCUAAAACUAUCUGUUGGCCUUAGAGUCUACCUGGAGGCUGGCUGUACUAUUAAGUCUUGAAGACAUAAUAAGAUUGCCACCAAAACCAGGUGAGGAUAUAAGGACUUCAAGAUGAAAUGAUAGAGGAAAUGUCAUUGGCAUGGGAGACCCUCAUUAACACUAUAGUUUAAGGAGUGUAGAAAAGAGGUGUAAGAAAGUGUAGUUUAAAGAGAAGACGGUUGGAAGGGAAGGGGCACUGCAUGUCAAACCUGAGAGUGCUGACUUUAUCCUCCCACCUACUGAGGAAUUUUGUAAAAGAAGGUGAAAUGGAUGGAUGUGAGUUUUAGAAAACACUUUGGUAGCUGUUUGGAGAAUGAGCUGGGGAGAGAAUCUAAGGUCACACUGAUGGUUACCAGUGGAGCUAGAGCUAGAAUAUAUUUUCCACUGUACAUUGUUUCAUUUCACAGGGGCAUACUUUUCAAUUUAGACUGAAAAAAAGCAACAGCCAUUCAUUUGGUCAAUUAAGGGCUCAGUUUUGUGGGGUUCCUGGAGGUUUAACUAUCAGAACGCUUCGAAAGGUAAAAGGAAACCACUGUAACUAAUAGGUGUCACCAGUCAAGAUCCCAGAUGUUUACUGUCUUCAAAGAUAAAAAGCUUGUUAACAGUAACUAUGGAGGUUACUGAUAACAGGCUGAUCAGUCUUGUUGUCUCCACAUGGCACUUCUAAUUUUUUUUUAAGCUUAUGUUGUUAAAAUAACUGUAUUUACUUUUGAAAAAAGACAACAUAUAUAAACUGGCUUUUAGCAGCUAAAGUAAUUUUUAGGUCUAAGAUUUGUUUGUUUGUUUGGCAGAAUUUUUGGGUGACAAUACCAAAGAAUAGCUUCCUAAUACACAAUGAAAAUGUAUAACCCAUUGAAUUGGCAAUGGUGUCUUUAUAAGCCUCUGCUUUAAUUAGUUUUUAAUUUAUACCCAUCUUCAUCUAAACGGAUUUACAAAGCUUUAUAUGUCAAUUAGUUUUGGUAACUAAAAAAUAAUCAAUAUUCAUUUGGUUUUCUAUUGCGGUUAUAAAUUUCUUCUAAGAACACAUCAACAUCCAUAUAAAGUAGAAAAAUCUGACACAAUAUGAAUCUCUAUAAAUCCUAUUUGGGUGUCUUCCAAAUUUUCUUUUCUCAUGUAUCCAGUUAAAAUUAACCCAAAUGGAGUAGCUGAGCUUCAUUUAAGUUAGCUUAGUGUUGAUAUUUUUAAUGGAAUUGUAGAAAUUGUUUAAGAAUUAUUAUUUCAUAUACUGGUGUUUUGAGAAAAAAAGCACUAGAUUACUGUCUCUCACACACUAGUGACUUAUGUAAGUCAAUUAUUUUUAGUAAGAAAAUAAUUUUUGAAAUAUGAACAAGAACAAAAUUACUGAGAUUUUCAUUAAAGGAAACCAAUUCCUUCAAUAUUCUGAUUUUUUUUAUUUUACUAAAUCAGUGGCUUUAAACGUAUGGGUCACUAUAAACCAAAUAUAAUGGAAAAAAUAAAAAUCAUUUUAAAAAUAAAAUAUCAUAGAACUAUAAAAAAAGAAAAUCAAACAAAAAAUUAAAUGUAUGGCUCAAUUUAAAUAUCAAAGCACUUAAUAAUUUUCUUAAUAAUUAUUAUAACUUAUCUCCUUUACCCACAGACUAUGGGCUCCUUGAGGAAAGGGAUUUAGUUCAGUGUUUUGACAUUACACUGAGUGCAAUGUCUUGGACAUAGUUGGCACCCAGUAAGUGUUUGUUGACAAAUAAUUUCAGGCACAGAAAACACAGUUGCUCUCAUUAACAUUUCAGCACUGGGGGAAAGCAUCCCAGAAUCAUCUAGUAUAACUCUACCAUCUUAUAGAGAAAGGGGUUUUCCAUCAGAAGAAAUAGGUAGCUUUUUGAUAAGCACAAAUGUCCCCAGGUCUCCUGACUCCUAUUUCAAUUUUUUAAUUUAAAAAAUUUUGAGGAGUUCCCACUGUGGCUCACAGGUUAAGAACCCAUGAGGGUUCUUAGUAUCCAUGAGGAGGCAGGUUCAAUCCCUGGCCUUGCUCAGUGGCUUAAGGAUCCAGGAAAACUUCUAAGUCAUGUGUUAAGGUUGUCAGGAACAUCAGUAGUCUGGGUUUUAAGGGACCGUGAGAAUCAGAGGUUUCCUAUUGACCUGAAACUCCUUUGGACUGUGAGACUGAUACUCCUAGUGUAUUCAACCUCAAAUAGCUAUAUUGUGGCUAUUUCUUAUAGCAACUAUUUCUAUGAUGGAGGAAAAUUCCUACCAGCUAGAAAACUCCCAACAUCUUACUAUGCAGUGAAAAAAGAAGACUGAUUCACACUGACCUUCUUUCACAUUUUCUAGCAGAUAUAUGAAAAUCUAGCAUAAGGCAGGCUUCACUGAGCAUCAUCACCAUGAGUUAAUCAAGGUCCUAUUUUGCCUCAUCCCUUAGGCAGUGGUUCUCAAACUCUAGUCCUUAGCACAAGCACCUUGCAGGCUUGUUAAACCAGGUAAGUGGAAGUACUUACUACUGGGCUUUUCCUCCAGAGUUGGAUUUUCACUGGGUCUUGGAUGGAGCCUGACAAUUUGCUUUUGCCACAGGUUCCAAGACAAUGACUUUGAAAUGAAUGGGUCUGGACAACCACACUUUGAGAACUACAGCCAUAGGGCUGCUAAAUUACUCCUAAAUGUUUUACCUCAUAUUUUCAUACACUGGUCACAUACAACCAAUUGGCACCCUCCCAAAUUUGUUCUAUCUGCUUAACAAUACACCUGAUACCUUAUUGAAAUGGAAACAACAGGAUCUCAUAGCAGCUGCUUAGAUAACAUGGGAGUGUUUCUCACCACUUAAAUUGUCAAAAAUAGCAUUUGUGUUCUUUCUGAUCAUCUGUCUGAAGGUAGAAAUAUUAGCUUAUAGGUAAACCAAGUUGUCUUCACAGAAUGAAAAUUAAGGUGAAAACUCAAAGAUGAAAAAGAAAAGAUGAGAUGUUGAGGGGAUAAAGGUAUUUGAAGGCCAUGUUUUUGGGAGGCUGGCUGAAGAAUAAGGCAUCAUUAUUAAAGAUUUACCAGAGGGAUAAAUAGAAUCUCACCCUAGCAUGAGAGGAAGCAGCCGGCCAAUUCCCUAGCAGAAAAAUCCAUCAAAAGUUGUUAUCAAAAAAAAAAAAANUUUUUAAAAAAAAAAAAAAAAAAAAAGAACUUCAGCCAAAAGGAAAAGGUAUUUCUCUACUACCAUGCACAAUUUGGCCUUCCAAGUGUCAUAGAGUUUGCUCCCAGUGUGUCAACAACUUUCUGACUGCUCCUUGUUGGUAUGUGGUCUCCAACACUGUGUACCAACCCAGAAGUCUUACUCCCAGCCUCCCGGCCCUGCCUGUGUAAAGAAUGACAGUCAGUACCUUGUGCAGUAGUAGCUCUGUGAUGAGGUGGAGUGGGACCUGUACAAGCCAGGAGGAAGAAGUCAGCCUUCAAAAAUC
rnacentral:lncRNA from 1 species